UACGAAGGGGGCGAGCGUUGUUCGGAAUUACUGGGCGUAAAGGGCGCGUAGGCGGCCCUGGAAGUCAGAUGUGAAAGCCCCGGGCUCAACCUGGGAACAGCAUUUGAUACUCCGGGGCUGGAGUUCGGGAGAGGAGAGUGGAAUUCCCAGUGUAGAGGUGAAAUUCGUAGAUAUUGGGAAGAACACCGGUGGCGAAGGCGGCUCUCUGGACCGAAACUGACGCUGAGGCGCGAAAGCGUGGGGAG
rnacentral:rRNA from 1 species